rnacentral:tRNA from 1 species
GGGCCGUUAGCUCAGCGGUAGAGCACCCGACUCUUAAUCGGGUGGUCGAGGGUUCAAACCCCUCACGGCCCG